CGGCGCCCCGCCCCCUUCCCUGACAGGUUGCCCACUCCAACCCCCGCCUGCUUCCCGGUUGACGGACCGAGGAGUCGGAGCGGUCGGAGGCUUUUACGCCUGUGGCGUGCCGCAAACUCCCUCAAGAGAUACCGCCUCUGUGAGAACAGGUAUCUUAUCUGACACGUUCAUAGCUAUAUCCCAGUACCUGGAACAUAAAAGUGCUCAAUAAAUAUUGAACGGAAAAAAAAAAAAGUAUGUUAUGUAUAAAAGUGGAUACUUUCUAUGAUAAAUGAAAAUGGCCAAUUCUUUAAGAGGAGAAGUAUUGAAUCUUUACAAAAAUGUUCCUGCUCAAGACCAAAACUUAAGGCAUGAACCAAGUAGCUGCCAAUAAAUACAAGGAUAUGCAUAUUUAUUUUGUUCAAAUAACAAAUAAUAGCAGAUGAAGUAACAAAUAAAAUACUCUGCAGAAAAUACGGCUUCAAAUUUUCACAAAAACUGGAGAUGCAAAAUUUAUAAAAAUUUAUAUAUUUCAUUGUAUAAUCUCCACGAUUACUUGGAAUAGAUCUUUAAAGUCUUCCAAAAGCAUGCAAAUAUCAAAUUAAUUUCAAAAGAAGAAGAUGAAUAAACUGUUGAAAGGCAAAUCAAAAAGUCCAUGUAAUAAAAAGAAAUUAAAGAUCAUAAACUAAAUAAGUUAAGCAACAUAAAUUACAUACAGAUAUCAAAAAAACAAGAUAUAAAUAAAAAAAGCUGAGUGCCAGGUUAAGAAAUAAAAUACAGGUAUUCCUUUAUAUUCUAUUAUUCUAUACUUUAAUUAGAUGAUCCACAAAAAUGUCUACAAAGCAAAUUUAAGUUAAUCCACUUCCAUAGCAUACAGACUUACAUACACCUUUCCACCCCACCCCCGCUGCCAAAAACCAGUAUAAAACCUAAAAGUCUAUUUUAAAAGGAAACCAGGUAGUUUAAUGAUUAAUUAUAAAUACUGUGGUAUAUUAAACCAUAUUAAGAAUCAACCAGUAUGUCUGAGCUGGUAACCAUACAAGGAAAGAAGACACAGCUACUUUAGGCUAUCACAUGAGAAGUGAAGUGCAACAUUGUGGGAACAAGACUCCCUUCUACUGUCCUCUAUUACCUUUCUACUCCAAAGGCAGUCCCAGUACCUAAAUCAGCAUCACCUGAGAGCUUGUUAGAAAUGUAAAUCGAGGUCCCAACCCAAACUCACUUAAUCAGAACUAGAUUUGAAUAAGAAACCCAGUUGAUUUUUCAUAUGCAUAUGUAAGUAUGAGAAGCACUGGUCUAUUUGCAACCCUUUAUUAACAGGAGGCAAGUCUCUUUGGUUUUUUUCUUUUCUUUGUAAAAUGUAAACUAAAAUGUUCACUAGUCUAAAAAUGCUUUUAAAAGCUACAAAUAAUGUAAGUUAAAAUGUUAAUGGUAUAUAACCUAGGUAGUAGGUUUUCAAUACAAUUCCUUCAAUUUUAUAUUUGAAAAUUUUUCAUAGAAAAUAUUGGGAGAAAAAGUUAUAAUCAUGUUUUUUGAGUACCUCCUCCCUAAGGGAAAUCAAGGAGUCUGGUCAGAGAAGACAUGUAAAAAGAAGAAAACCAAACCUCUUCCCAGUCUUUGGGACCUUGGGAAUGGAUCUGAAUGAGAUCUUAAUUCCUCUAAAGUGAAGUGAAGUGAUGUAUAUAGCAAGUCUUUAACCUAUAAAUCAGGUUUUAGAAUGAGAUAUUUGUACUAUGGUCAAGCUACAGAAAUGCAGCUUUUAAUCCCAAAACAACAACUUAAAAUAGAACUCAUUGUUUUUUCACUGUGUACCAAAUUUGUACAACUGGGAAGAGGUACAUAGGAUUUCCACUGGGGACAGACAUAUAUACUAGCUGAAUGAUGGUUUAGUUUUAAAUUUUUACCUCUUUACAAAAUUCAAUGGAAGUUCUAGAAUGUCUGUUUUUAUAAGUUCAACCAUGUAGUGAGUUGUUCAUCAAUUUUCUUAACUCCUAGCAUUACAGAAGUUAAAUUCCACAAAAGUGGUUUUCUGGGCUCACAGGUAAACGUAACCAGACAAAGCCCAAAACAAACACUCAUCUUGUAUGGAACAUAAAUUCAUCAAUUUCUUAGUAUAUGAAAAUUGUAUUCAGUCAUAUCCUUAUAUAUUACUUCCUAGGAUUUUUUUCUAUAUGUGAAACUCUUAUUUCAUACAAAUAGGUUAAAUAAUAUCAACAGAAAUUCUUUUAUUUUACCUAGAGAAAAAGUUACUCAAAAUGAAGAUAAUUUUUGAAACAAAAUUCAAGGUCAAUCUGGCAUUAAUUUUUGUCAGAACAACACAGUAAAGGAAUAAUUAGGAAUUUCUAUUUACUUUCUAAAUAUUCUCUUGUUUUAAUGAAAACUUUCUCCAGAAAUAAAUAUAUCCUUAAAAAAAAUUCUACCAAAGUAAAAUCCUUCAAAUACAACAAAAUUUAAUCCAGAAACAUAUGACAUAAUGCUCUUAAAAGCACUUCUAAAAUAGGAAACUCAAAUUUGUUCCCCUGUUCUUCGACUUCAUAAACAUAACAGUAAAAAAAGAGUCCCACAUUUCUUGAAUCCUGAAUGUAAGAUGUGCUGAGCUGAAGAGAAAUGUUCAAUGUGGAAAAAACCAAAGCCAAAAAUAAUACCAUUAACACUGGAUUAAGAAGCGCUGCCCUCUCAUAUCCUUAAGAGAACAUUUACCAGAUAAAUAUUGUUUUAUUUCCUAUUUUAGUAUAAGGGAAAGAAAAAUUGAUAAAUUACACUAAAUGAUGUAAGUUAUGCCAUCAGGUAUGUACAUCUAUUAAUGUUCUUGCCCUCCUGCUCCCAAAAUGACGUUAUUAGAAUAUAUUAGUAAAUUGAUUAAGAUUAAAAUCACCUGAUACAGUUUGUAGAGAAGUUUUAUAUUUAUUACAG